ACUCCCAGCAGAGCGCACAGCGCAAUGUGAUCCCCGGCUGUCAGACUGGGACUCUCAGUGCUACUGGGAGCAGCGCUAUGGGGGGCAGCUGCUAAGUGCCCCGGGGGCCCCUGGGAAGAAGCCUGCCAUGCCGUCACAUAGAAAUGAGAAGCGAGUGACCCGCAAAGCCAGGUAGUCGGCGUCCAAGCUCAGCUCGAGGAUCUUCUCAAGCAACAUGGGAGAAAAUGGCGACGACAAGCACGGCCGAUCCGGCCAACUGUUUGAGAACUUCAUCCAGGCCACCACGUGUAAAGGAACCCUUCAAGCCUUCAACAUUCUCACUCGCCAGCUGGAGCUAGACCCUCAGGACCACCGGCACUUCUACGCCAAGCUGAAGUCCAAAGUCACCAGUUGGAAAGCCAAAGCCUUGUGGAACAAGCUGGAUAAGAAACAUGGGCAGAAGGAGUACAAGAAAGGCAAAGCGUGCAUAGGCACCAAGUGUUUAAUAAUUGGAGGGGGUCCCUGCGGCCUACGGACUGCCAUAGAACUUUCCUGCUUAGGAGCCAAAGUGGUGGUGGUGGAAAAGAGAGACACCUUCUCCCGGAAUAAUGUCCUUCAUCUCUGGCCUUACACCAUCCAUGAUCUCCGCUGCCUCGGAGCUAAGAAGUUCUACGGAAAGUUCUGCGCAGGAGCCAUCGACCACAUUAGCAUAUGGCAGCUCCAGCUGAUGCUCUUUAAGAUCGCCCUGUUGCACGGCAUCGAGAUUCACGUCAAUGUGGAAUUUAUGAAGCUGCUGGAACCUCUGGAGGAUCAAGAGAACCAGAAAACUGGUUGGAGAGCAGAGUUCCUUCCUCAGGAUCAUCCUUUAUCUGAUUAUGAAUUUGAUGUUAUCAUUGGAGCUGAUGGGCGCAGAAACACGCUGGAAGGAUUCCGUAGAAAAGAAUUCCGGGGGAAGCUGGCCAUCGCCAUCACGGCCAAUUUCAUCAACAGGAACACGACGGCGGAAGCGAAGGUGGAGGAGAUCAGCGGCGUGGCCUUCAUCUUCAACCAGAAAUUCUUCCAGGACCUGAAAGAGGAGACAGGAAUUGAUCUGGAAAAUAUUGUGUAUUACAAGGACAGCACCCACUACUUUGUCAUGACUGCGAAGAAACAAAGUCUCUUGGACAAAGGAGUCAUUAUAAAUGACUACGCGGAUGCAGAAAUGCUUCUCUGCGCAGAGAACGUUGACCAGGACAACCUACAAUCCUAUGCCCGGGAGGCGGCGGACUUUGCCACAAACUACCAGCUUCCAUCGUUAGACUUUGCCAUUAACCAUUACGGGCAGCCGGAUGUAGCCAUGUUUGAUUUCACCUCCAUGUACGCCUCGGAGAACGCAGCCCUUGUCCGCGAGCGGCACGGGCAUCAACUCUUGGUGGCGCUGGUUGGCGAUAGUUUGCUGGAGCCGUUUUGGCCAAUGGGGACGGGCUGCGCUAGAGGGUUCCUCGCUGCUUUUGACACCGCCUGGAUGGUACGAAGUUGGGCUCAGGGGGCCCUUCCGUUAGAGCUCUUGGCGGAACGUGAGGGUCUGUAUCGCCUGCUCCCCCAAACGACCCCAGAAAACAUCAGUAAGAAUUUCGACCAAUACACCAUCGACCCCGGGACCCGCUACCCCAACCUCAACUCCAACUGCGUCCGGACGCACCAGGUUAAACAUUUGUUCAUCACCAAUGAAUUACAGACGUGUUCCCUGGAGCGGGCGAGUUCCAUCAGGCGGUCGGUGGGAGUCUCCAGGCACGAGUCGGAUGUGAGACCCAACAAACUUCUGAUAUGGUGUCAAAAGCAAACGGAGGGUUAUGGGAAUGUCACUGUCACAAAUCUUACCAGCUCGUGGAAAAGCGGCCUGGCCUUGUGCGCCCUCAUCCACCGCUUCCGCCCAGAACUUGUCGACUUCGGCUCCUUGAAGGAGGACGACGUGGUGGGGAACAACCAGCUGGCAUUCGAUAUUGCAGAGAGAGAGUUUGGAAUCUCUCCCAUGACCACAGGCAAAGAGAUGGCGGCCACGGAGGAGCCCGAUAAGCUCAGCAUGGUGCUCUACCUCUCCAAAUUCUAUGAGUUAUUUAGGGGCGCACCUCUACGGCCGGUCGAUACAGCGAGCAAAGAUAAUGGAGACGCCCGGUCAGCCAAGCCAUCGAACUUAAUAGUGAACAAUUACCUCAACCUGACGUUACCGAGGAAGCGGGUUCCAAAGGAUGAAAAGACGUCAGAUGACAGUGAUCUGAACAAGAGGAGAAAGACAGUCUUCCGUUGCUUUGAAGAGCCGGCCAAUGUCCCGAGCAGAAACGUGAAUUCGGGGAACGAGUGCAACGACACCAAAGAAGUCAUCAAUCAGAACAAGGUGAAGUCCAUGGCGACGCAGCUACUCGCAAAGUUUGAGGAAAACGCCCCAAAUACGUCGCUACGGCGACAGGAGUCUUUAACCCUUUCCGAAGCAGAUCAGGCAGUGACUGCACCCCUUACUGAUCCUCCUCCUGUUAACCCUCGCUUUGCUAAACCUCAGGAGCCAACCCCCAGCCCGCCACAGGCCGAGACUAAAAGGCAGUUCCAGGCGGUUAGUAGGACGCAGCCGGUGGUCAGACCACCCGUACAGCCCAGGCCUGGGCCGGCCAAACCGACCCGCGAGCUGAGGGUGGUAGAGAGAGCGCAGUCCCACCCCGACGACCUGGGAAGGAGCGAGUCUCUCUCUUCCGCCUGUCCCUCUGCUCUCGUGCUCUCUAACAUACUUGAACGCCUCCAGGAUCUCGAAGAGAAAGCUCAGCAGAAACGGGCUCAGAAUUUAGCAAACAGAGACUUUCACAAAAAGAACAUAAAGGAGAAGGCGGCUCACCUGGCCUCCUUGUUCGGCUCCGUGGAUUUGCCCAAGAAUAAACUUCCCUCCCUCGGCUUCUCCCAUCACUCCCCCCAAAUCCCUUACAGCAGCUCCCGAACUCCUGAUCCGCCUCCUCCUUCAUCUUCAUCCGACUCAUCCCCCUCUUCUGCACCCUCUAGAAAGAUGACCGUAGGAAAGGUUUCCAGUGGGAUCGGCGCUGUGGCUGAAGUUCUAGUCAAUCUGUAUAUGUGCGAUCACAAACCCAAACCUAAGUCUUCUCAUUUGGAGCCUGAGGACGGGACCUCGACUGCGGAGCCUCCCUGUGCCCCCAAGGGGUCGCUACGGAAGGAGUUCCCGGCCAAUAUCGGAGGGAGCGACACCUGCUAUUUCUGCAAGAGGCGGGUCUACGUGGUGGAGCGACUCAGCGCCGAGGGGCACUUCUUCCACCGGGAAUGUUUCAAGUGCGCCUUCUGUUCCACCAGCAUCCGCCUGGGGAAUUACGUCUUCAACGUAGAAGAUGGUAAUUUUUAUUGCCAACCGCACUUCAUGCAUUCUGUCACCAAAAAUAAACAUCGGAAACGCAGGACGGAGUCAAAGGCGCAGGAGGAGGACAAGACGUGGAGAAGCGGCGAGGCAGAAGCUGCGGAAGUGGCCACGGACAGCGCCUACAGCGCCUGCAGCAGUUCCGGCGACAGCUCCCCAGGUAUCGUUCCCUCCUUAUGUAGGAAAACGCUAAGCUGGCCGCUUAUGGUGACGCGGGAUCUGCUUGCCAUUCCGGGCCGCUUGUCUAACUGGAUGCACGGUGCGUUCCAAGGUGCCAACCGCCAUGUCAGGAACAACGAGCAGAGCUAUGCCUACCUGUACGAACUGCUGAGCGUGGGGGUGCCGCUAAUGUACGCUCUGCUAGAGGUACUAACCCUUAUGUACCACGAGGCAGGCCCCUCCUUUCUGGAUCUGGUGCAACAAGUGCAGAGCGCUCUGUGGUCCAAAAACACUUAACCUUCCUAGAGGGGCCUUUCCUGCCUUUUCCGCUGCACUAUGGCUUUUUCCUUUACAUUUCUGGUGACGGUGGCCUUGGGAAGGUUUCUGGACACAUUGGCCAGAUGCUAAGGGGGAAGGAAGCUCUAGGUUUGCACUUUGCCAUAUGCACCAUCUUGUCGUGGUUUACAGGGAGGUCCCCAACCUGGUGUACGGAGCAGCCACAUUCGGAUGUCCGGUUGCUACCAAAUGGUUUCCAGUUUGGUUGACCAAAAACAGUGUUUUUUUUGUCUAGUUCUUACCUUUGCUUUCACAUUCACUGAAUCGACUCAAGAUCACUAAGAGGCCACUCUUUCUGUAUAACGGACUCUAAACUGUAAUGAACCACAAAAGCCCUGCUUUACUCCUUUGAAUGCAGUUCAGUUGGAAGCCAAAGCACCGUGUAGGAAUGUUGUGGCUCAAGGAAGCCAAGGAAGUAAAAAAGGUCCUCUGAUAACUCCUCAAAUAGGUGGCCAGAACAUUCAAAUAUCUGGUUUGAUGCAUUGUUGCAGUAUAAAUACUCAUUGCUAGAGAGAAGAUGAUGGUCUAGCUGGAGGUCCGUGGCCUGGAUGUCAUGAUCUAGGACAGGGCUGUCUAGCUGGAGGUCCAUGGCCUGGAUGCCAUGAUCUAGGACAAGGCUGUCUAGCUAGAGGUCCAUGGCCUGGAUGUCAUUAUCUAGGACAGGUCUGUCUAGAUGAAGAUCCAUGGCCUGUAUGUCAUGAUCUAGAACAGGUCUGUCUAGCUGGAGAUUCCAUGGCCUGGAUGUGAUGGUCUAGGACAGGGCUGUCUAGCUGGAGGUCCAUGGCCUGGAUGUCAUGAUCUAGGACAGGGCUGUCUAGCUGGAGGUCCAUGGCCUGGAUGUGAUGGUCUAGGACAGGGCUGUCUAGCUGGAGAUCCAUGGCCUGGAUGUCAUGAUCUAGAACAGGUCUGUCUAGCUGAAGAUCCAUGGCCUGGAUGUGAUGGUCUAGGACAGGGCUGUCUAGCUGGAGAUCCAUGGCCUGAAUGUCAUGAUCUAGAACAGGUCUGUCUAGCUGGAGAUCCAUGGCCUGGAUGCGAUGGUCUAGGACAGGGCUGUCUAGCUGGAGGUCCAUGGCCUGGAUGUGAUGGUCUAGGACAGGGCUGUCUAGCUAGAGAUCCAUGGCCUGGAUGUCAUGAUCUAGGACAGGGCUGUCUAGCUGGAGAUCCAUGGCCUGGAUGUGAUGGUCUAGGACAGGGCUGUCUAGCUGGAGAUCCAUGGCCUGUAUGUCAUGAUCUAGAACAGGUCUGUCUAGCUGGAGAUCCAUGGCCUGGAUGUGAUGGUCUAGGACAGGGCUGUCUAGCUGGAGGUCCAUGGCCUGGAUGUGAUGGUCUAGGACAGGGCUGUCUAGCUAGAGAUCCAUGGCCUGGAUGUCAUGAUCUAGGACAGGGCUGUCUAGCUGGAGAUCCAUGGCCUGGAUGUGAUAGUCUAGGACAGGGCUGUCUAGCUGGAGAUCCAUGGCCUGGAUGUGAUGGUCUAGGACAGGGCUGUCUAGCUGGAGGUCCAUGGCCUGGAUGUGAUGGUCUAGGACAGGGCUGUCUAGCUAGAGAUCCAUGGCCUGGAUGUCAUGAUCUAGGACAGGGCUGUCUAGCUGGAGAUCCAUGGCCUGGAUGUGAUGGUCUAGGACAGGGCUGUCUAGCUGGAGAUCCAUGGCCUGGAUGUGAUGGUCUAGGACAGGGCUGUCUAGCUGGAGAUCCAUGGCCUGGAUGUCAUGAUGUAGGACAGGGCUGUCUAGCUGGAGGUCCAGUAUAGGCAAAUACUGAUCCAACCUAUGGAAACAGUUGGACGUCACUUGUCUAGGAGGUCAUUUCUGAAACCGACUGUCCAAUGACAUUUCAUAAAGCUCAGGUCUUCUCCUGGAUUGAUCCCCCCUACCAUGCUCAUAUUUCACCCAGGCCCUAUUUUGUGCCAUAUGUUUAUAGAAGAGCCUCGAGUGGCCCUCACUGCCCUUGAGGGUGAUUGGACGAUUAUCCAGUUAAUCAAGUUUUUGUAUAUUUUAAAUCAGAGACUAAAGGAUAACUUCGCCCAAGAAUAAGAUUUUCUUUCUUUCUGCAAAUUGUUCUUUGUCUAAUUUAGGCGAAGUUGCCCUUUAAUUACAAUUAAAUCUAAAUUAGGGACAUGGAACAAUGGAAUGGCAAAGACUCUGCUAUAUGAUAUUGUGUAAAAGGUAACGGGUCUGGUUCUGAGCCUUCAGGCCCUGCUUCACCCCCCCCCCCCCCCGCCGCCCCAGGCCCAAUGCCCCAUAUCACAGGUUAAGGGCAAUUAAUGGUCUUUGUGGUCUCAGCAUUUCUCACUUCCGAACCGUACGAUACCUCCGAGCUUGUCUCAUAGACUGCAGGCUCCUUCUUAGGGGGAAAUAUGCCCUUUAAAAUGGGGCGGAGCUACCCUGCUUGUUAUUAUGGGUAUCCCCCGCCCCCCCCCCCCCGAGACCUCCAUACAUUUCAUUGCAUUUCUACCUACAGCCGUUAAUCACUUGCUUCCUAAUUCAUUUGCACAGACGGAUAUUUCCACGCUAUGAUUUUGUAAUUUUUUAUGUUAUUAUGUAAUUUUGACAUUUCUAGAAUAUUCAGAAUGUUUAAAUGUGUUUCUUGCAGUUUGGAGAGGGGGGAAUUGUACAAAGGGGUAAUUUCCAGCUUGGUGAUUGGUGGGGGCAUAUUGCCCAAACUUGCCUCCAUUGACUCCUGGGGCAGUUACUGUACCUGCAAGGGCAGUUGCAGCUGAUAAUCAGGUGACUGUCGGUUGGAAAGGUGGCAGUCAGUCUGCGUUUCCAAGUGACAGUCAUGUGACAAGCGAUUGCCCCCCCUGCUUGCAGGCAAUGGCGAGUAUAAAGGGGGCAGAUUUUACGGGUCCUGGGCUGGAAAUUGUUCCCAGUGCCAUUGGGCUAAUGGAUAAAUAUGUUCUUUAUUAUUUCUUAAAGAGAUAUAUUGUAUUCCCAGCCUCAAAUCCUUACUGUAAACUUACGUCAGGGGGGGCGGCUGGGGAAAUGCUCCCAGAAUCCUUUGGUAGAGAGAACUUCCAAUAGCUGCGGAAUAUAUUGGUGCUUUAUAAAUAAAUGUUAAUAAUAAUAAUUAUAGCUGCCCACAGACUGGCAGAAAGAGAGUCUAAACAACUUGUUAGAUAGCAGUGACCCCCAACCAGUAACAUGUUGUUUACUACCCCCAUUGAGUGACAUUAAAGCAGGGGCACAUUUCUAAUUUAAGUUCUGGGGGCAGAAAGACCAACUGCCAGACUCCUUCAGCAGUGGGGUAACUUGGUUGCCACCCUGCAAACAGAUCUUCUAAAGGGGCCCGGUGGGGGAGGAGGGACUGUAAUAUGGCAGACCCCGCUGUCCAGGUCCCCCUGUGGCCCCCCCACGGCCGCAGGGUCUGCUGUAUAGCUAGUUUGGCCACUGUCCUGCAGUCUGGCAUUCAUGGUGGGCUACCAAAUGACCAAUCACAGCCCUACAUUUGGCACCCAAUCCCCCCCCAGGACGCAUUGGUCCCUCACUGACCCAGACCCAAUCCCCCCCAAGACGCAUUGGUCCCUCACUGACCCAGACCCAAUCCCCCCCAGGACGCAUUGGUCCCUCACUGACCCAUACCCACUCCCCCCAGGACGCAUUGGUCCCUCACUGACCCAGACCCGAUCCCCCCAGGACGCAUUGGUCCCUCACUGACCCAUACCCACUCCCCCCCAGGACGCAUUGGUCCCUCACUGACCCAGACCCAAUCCCCCCCAAGACGCAUUGGUCCCUCACUGACCCAGACCCAAUCCCCCCCAGGACGCAUUGGUCCCUCACUGACCCAGACCCAAGCCCCCCCAGGACGCAUUGGUCCCUCACUGACCCUGACCCAAGCCCCCCCCAGGACGCAUUGGUCCCUCACUGACCCAGACCCGAUCCCCCCAGGACGCAUUGGUCCCUCACUGACCCAUACCCACUCCCCCCCAGGACGCAUUGGUCCCUCACUGACCCAGACCCAAUCCCCCCCAAGACGCAUUGGUCCCUCACUGACCCAGACCCAAUCCCCCCCAGGACGCAUUGGUCCCUCACUGACCCAGACCCAAGCCCCCCCCAGGACGCAUUGGUCCCUCACUGACCCAUACCCACUCCCCCCAGGACGCAUUGGUCCCUCACUGACCCAGACCCGAUCCCCCCCAGGACGCAUUGGUCCCUCACUGACCCAGACCCAAUCCCCCCCAGGAUGCAUUGGUCCCUCACUGACCCAGACCCAAUCCCCCCCCAGGACACAUUGGUCCCUCACUGACCCAGACCCAAUCCCCCCCAGGACGCAUUGGUCCCUCACUGACCCAGACCCAAUCCCCCCCCCAGGACGCAUUGGUCUCACAGACCCAAUCCCCCCCCAGGACACAUUGGUCCCUCACUGACCCAGACCCAAUCCCCCCAGGACGCAUUGGUCCCUCACUGACCCAGACCCAAUCCCCCCCCCAGGAUGCAUUGGUCCCUCACUGACCUUCCUCCCCCCCUCCAAGGUGCAUAAGUAAGUGUCAGAUAUGUACACUUGGGGGGGUGGGUGCUUGCUGGGGGCCGCUGGGGUGGCAAUGCCAAUGGGCCCCGCACACACCACUUCGACCCUGGUACUGAUAUCACUGAAUAACCAAAACCUGCCCUGGGGAUACAAUAUAUUUCUUUAGGAAUUCUGUGCCCCCUCAAUCUCCAAUGCUGUAACAUGAGAAUCAGCUGCCUGUAACGUCCACGUUACUGAUUUACUGUACAUUUCAAGGGCAUACGAACUAUUAUUGCAAAAUGAGAAUAUGAGUCCUGGCUGCACUCAAUAGGCCAGCUAUGUAUCCAUGUACUGUAUCAUGUGCCUGUUGUGUCCCAUCUCCGCAAUGGGGAAUAUUGGGGGGAAAGAGGGCAUUUCCUAUGUUUCCUGCUAUUUUCCCUCUGUCUGUAUCUAAACCACUGCCAUUUUCUUGAUUUUAUCUCUUUUUUUUAACCCUUCAGCUUCUGAUCUCUCUCAAAUCCUCUCUCUCUCUCUCUCUUUAUUUCCCUCCACUGCCUUUAGUUCCUUUCAACAUUCCAGUACUAGAUCCUCUCAUUGGCUGAAGCGUUGUCACUAUCAGACUCUGUUCCCCGUUCGGACUGUUUUUUCCUCUCUCUCUGGGAUUUGGGGGAAAGUCCUUUCUUUACCAUCUUAAUUCACGGUUUAUCAAAUGAAGUGAAUAUUUUUUUUUAAUCCUGUGAUUCUGAUGGGAAAUGUACGGCGCGCGCAGGAUUCUGUUCAACUCCGUGACAAACUGAUCUGUAAACAAAUAAAUAUGUUAGUUUGUAACCCC